ensembl:lncRNA
GAUGCCAUCAGAUGCAGAAUAUAAGUAAAGUUUGGCAGAAGUUCAAGGGGCCUGGAUUUUAAAUUUAUAAAGGCUCUGUAAAUUUCUUUGAAUACACUACGAAGAAUGAUUACACCUAACUCAAAAUCAUAAUUGAAGCGAUAAUAGAAUCUUCUCACCUACAGGAUGUUCUUCAGCUGUGCACAAGCUGCAUGCGUGUUCCAGUGUAGUGAAUUAUUUUAAUUGCUCUUGACAAAUUAAGAUGCACUCUCUCAUUGAGUCAGUUAGCUACAGCAGAUUGGCUGAAAAUGACAGACGACGUGAUAAUGAUAGCUAAGAGAUUAGGCAUAUGAGAAAGGUUCUUUAAAACAUACCCUGCAACUACUUUACGUCACAGCAGCCUUUCUUGUCACUGUGAGGUUUAUUAAUCAACACAGACACAAAGAAACAUCCUUCAUAAAUGAAAAGUGUGGAAGCUACCUGUUCCUCCAGAACUCUAUAGGACUGUUAACAGACUAGAUGGAGUAAAACCAUAAAAGGAGAGGAAAAGACACAGAUCCUGUGCAAGCUGCUUGACAUGACAAGGCAGAAGAGAGAGCAUAGAACUAUCUAUUUGACCUUCCACUGCUCUUUGUCUCUUCAUUGCUGGCAAUCUCUGUGUCUCACACAUUUACUGUGGAGUUUUUCUCCAGAGCAAUCAAUACCUUGGUCUGCUUUCCAACUGCAAAAUAUUACAUGUAUCUUCAUACUUCGAAUCUGAGAGUAACACUAAGCUUCUGUGUGCAUGGUCUGUAGAUGUUCCAUCAACAACAAGAAGGCAAACAAGAAAAUCAUGACAGUUGUGUCCAACCACAAAUCUUUUGGAUAGAUGAAAUCUGUGCAAAAAGAAGGCUCUGAACAAAAAACAAAAACAAAAAACAAAGACAAAAAACAAAAUAAAAAUAAGUCACA